AUAAAUUUCCCAUGUGAUAAUUAAUAUAAAGGAUCAUUAAAUUGUCUUGAAACAUUUAGAAGUUUCAAGACAAUUGAGAAAGAGAGAAACAAGAGAAAGAAGAGCAAGAAUAAGAAGGCCAUUUUCGGCCAAGCUCUAGACCAAAAAAAAAAAAUAAUUUUUUUUUUUCAAAAAUCAUUUUCUACCAAUUAAAGGGUCCUUUACAACUUGGUGUAAUUAUUUUGGAAGGAAGAACACUUGUUUCUUCAAGUUGACAACUUGGUCAAGUGAAGAAGAUUGUAGAAAAAGAUUUUGGCGAACUUGAAACUUGAUUUUGGAGACGUGUAUGAAUCGGAAAAGGUCAACAGGUAGACAGAUUUGACUCUUAGAAGCUCCAUCAGCAGUACUGUGGCAGCGCUCCAGUUGUUCCGGAGCCUCAGUUUCUUGGUACUACUUUUGUGUACAUAUUCGGGCACGGUAGA